AGAACUUGAAACCGUGUGCUUACAAGUAGUCAGAGCCCGUUAAUGGGUGAUGGCGUGCCUUUUGUAGAAUGAACCGGCGAGUUACGAUCUGAUGCAAGGUUAAGCAGCAAAUGUGGAGCCGCAGCGAAAGCGAGUCUGAAUAGGGCGUUGAGUAUUUGGUCGUAGACCCGAAACCAGGUGAUCUACCCUUGGUCAGGUUGAAGUUCAGGUAACACUGAAUGGAGGACCGAACCGACUUACGUUGAAAAGUGAGCGGAUGAACUGAGGGUAGCGGAGAAAUUCCAAUCGAACUUGGAGAUAGCUGGUUCUCUCCGAAAUAGCUUUAGGGCUAGCCUCAAGUGAUGAUUAUUGGAGGUAGAGCACUGUUUGGACGAGGGCCCUCUCGGGUUACCGAAUUCAGACAAACUCCGAAUGCCAAUUAAUUUAACUUGGGAGUCAGAACAUGGGUGAUAAGGUCCGUGUUCGAAAGGGAAACAGCCCAGACCACCAGCUAAGGUCCCAAAAUAUAUGUUAAGUGGAAAAGGAUGUGGCGUUGCCCAGACAACUAGGAUGUUGGCUUAGAAGCAGCCAUCAUUUAAAGUGCGUAAUAGCUCACUAGUCGAGUGACACUGCGCCGAAAAUGUACCGGGGCUAAACAUAUUACCGAAGCUGUGGAUUGUCCUUUGGACAAUGGUAGGAGAGCGUUCUAAGGGCGUCGAAGCAUGAUCGCAAGGACAUGUGGAGCGCUUAGAAGUGAGAAUGCCGGUGUGAGUAGCGAAAGACGGGUGAGAAUCCCGUCCACCGAUUGACUAAGGUUUCCAGAGGAAGGCUCGUCCGCUCUGGGUUAGUCGGGUCCUAAGCUGAGGCCGGACAGGCGUAGGCGAUGGAUAACAGGUUGAUAUUCCUGUACCACCUAGUAUCGUUUUUAAUCGAUGGGGGGACGCAGUAGGAUAGGCGAAGCGUGCUGUUGGAGUGCACGUCAAGCAGUAAGGCUGAGUGUUAGGCAAAUCCGCACUCAUAAGGCUGAGCUGUGAUGGGGAGAGGAAAUUGUUUCCUCGAGUCGUUGAUUUCACACUGCCGAGAAAAGCCUCUAGAUAGAUAACAGGUGCCCGUACCGCAAACCGACACAGGUAGUCAAGAUGAGAAUUCUAAGGUGAGCGAGCGAACUCUCGUUAAGGAACUCGGCAAAAUGACCCGUAACUUCGGGAGAAGGGGUGCUCUUUAGGGUUCACGCCCAGAAGAGCCGCAGUGAAUAGGCCAAGCGACUGUUUAUCAAAACACAGGUCUCUGCUAAACCGUAAGGUGAUGUAUAGGGGCUGACGCCUGCCGGUGCUGGAAGGUUAAGAGGAGUGGUUAGCUUCUGCGAAGCUACGAAUCGAAGCCCAGUAAACGGCGGCCGUAACUAUAACGGUCCUAAGGUAGCGAAAUUCCUUGUCGGGUAAGUUCCGACCGCACGAAAGGCGUAACGAUUUGGGCACUGUCUCAACGAGAGACUCGGUGAAAUCAUAGUACCUGUGAAGAUGCAGGUUACCCGCGACAGGACGGAAAGACCCCGUGGAGCUUUACUGUAGCCUGAUAUUGAAAUUCGGCACAGCUUGUACAGGAUAGGUAGGAGCCUUUGAAACGUGAGCGCUAGCUUACGUGGAGGCGUUGGUGGGAUACUACCCUAGCUGUGUUGGCUUUCUAACCCGCACCACUUAUCGUGGUGGGAGACAGUGUCAGGCGGGCAGUUUGACUGGGGCGGUCGCCUCCUAAAAGGUAACGGAGGCGCUCAAAGGUUCCCUCAGAAUGGUUGGAAAUCAUUCAUAGAGUGUAAAGGCAUAAGGGAGCUUGACUGCGAGACCUACAAGUCGAGCAGGGUCGAAAGACGGACUUAGUGAUCCGGUGGUUCCGCAUGGAAGGGCCAUCGCUCAACGGAUAAAAGCUACCCCGGGGAUAACAGGCUUAUCUCCCCAAGAGUUCACAUCGACGGGGAGGUUUGGCACCUCGAUGUCGGCUCAUCGCAUCCUGGGGCUGUAGUCGGUCCCAAGGGUUGGGCUGUUCGCCCAUUAAAGCGGUACGCGAGCUGGGUUCAGAACGUCGUGAGACAGUUCGGUCCCUAUCCGUCGUGGGCGUAGGAAAUUUGAGAGGAGCUGUCCUUAGUACGAGAGGACCGGGAUGGACAUACCUCUGGUGUACCAGUUGUCGUGCCAACGGCAUAGCUGGGUAGCUAUGUAUGGACGGGAUAAGUGCUGAAAGCAUCUAAGCAUGAAGCCCCCCUCAAGAUGAGAUUUCCCAACUUCGGUUAUAAGAUCCCUCGAAGAUGACGAGGUUAAUAGGUUCGAGGUGGAAGCGUGGUGACACGUGGAGCUGACGAAUACUAAUCGAUCGAAGACUUAAUCAAUUU
rnacentral:rRNA from 1 species